rnacentral:rRNA from 1 species
CCUACGGGAGGCAGCAGUGGGGAAUUUUGGACAAUGGGCGAAAGCCUGAUCCAGCCAUGCCGCGUGCAGGAUGAAGGCCUUCGGGUUGUAAACUGCUUUUGUACGGAACGAAAAGGUCUUUUCUAAUAAAGAAGGCUCAUGACGGUACCGUAAGAAUAAGCACCGGCUAACUACGUGCCAGCAGCCGCGGUAAUACGUAGGGUGCGAGCGUUAAUCGGAAUUACUGGGCGUAAAGCGUGCGCAGGCGGUUAUAUAAGACAGUUGUGAAAUCCCCGGGCUCAACCUGGGAACUGCAUCUGUGACUGUAUAGCUAGAGUACGGUAGAGGGGGAUGGAAUUCCGCGUGUAGCAGUGAAAUGCGUAGAUAUGCGGAGGAACACCGAUGGCGAAGGCAAUCCCCUGGACCUGUACUGACGCUCAUGCACGAAAGCGUGGGGAGCAAACAGGAUUAGAUACCCUGGUAGUCCACGCCCUAAACGAUGUCAACUGGUUGUUGGGUCUUCACUGACUCAGUAACGAAGCUAACGCGUGAAGUUGACCGCCUGGGGGAGUACGGCCGCAAGGUUGAAACUUAAANGAAUUGACGGCUGAGAGNGCGAGACGACGACGAGGGAGGAGG